UCAUCUAUCUAAACAGGCUUGUCACAUAUCCUCGACUGAGGGAUGACCAUAGAGACGUACCAGAGAGCUCAUCUAUCUGAACAGGCUUGUCACAUAUCCUCGACUGAGGGAUGACCAUAGAGACGUACUAGAGAGCUCAUCUAUCUGAACAGGCUUGGUUGAAAUGGCUGAUCCUCUUGUUGUGAUGUUAACAGUAACCAGCUGUAUUUGUUACAGUAUUACAGAUUCCUUUAUUAAAAGAUGUGACUCUGUACCACAGUAUUACAGAUUCCUUUAAGAUGUGACUCUGUACCACAGUAUUACAGAUUCCUUUAUUAAAAGAUGUGACUCUGUACCACAGUACUACAGAUGGAUCUUAUAUUUUCUUGUAAAUUAAUCGUUGUUGAUCAUUUUGAUCGAGACAUAAAUAUUUUAAGAACUAUUUUAAAUAUAGACUUUAUUUUCCUUUUCUAGGUAAAGUCAAGAUCUAGUUAGCGUUUACUAAUUAAACAACAUCUCUCAUCCCUUUCCUUUCAAAAAGAAAUGAAAGAAUAUCCCUUUUUCAGUUUUGUUGUACAACCAUUAUACAUUAUGUAAUGGGGGAAGAAAUCACAAAACUGUUUUUGAAUUAAAAACACUAUUUUAUAUAUCCUGAAUGACACAUAUAUCUAUAGUAAUUCAUUAUAUUGUGGAUAGCAUAUUUUUUAGGAGGGUAACUGGAGUAGCGAGUUGUGGGCUGAAUAGAAACCAUUUAAGAUGCUACAGGUAGGUACAGUAUAGAAAGAGCUCAUACUGCUGAGACAACUCACAACGUCUGGGCGCGGUCACCAGAGAGGAAACUAACCGUCUUGUUGAGGAUUUACAUUUGAAUCAAAAUGCUUCGCCUCUCUUUAAGAUGAAGAAGAUUCCCCUGAUCCCAUGUCAUGCUAGCCAAGCCAAGGCUUUAUUAGAAACAUGUUGAAUGUGCCUCUCUUUAAGAUGUAAUGUUUCCCCUGAUCCCAUGUCAUGCUAGCAAGCCAAGGCUUUAUUAGAAACGUGUUGAAUGUGCCUCUCUUUAAGAUGUAAUGUUUCCCCUGAUCCCACGUCAUGCUAGCAAGCCAAGGCUUUAUUAGAAACGUGUUGAAUGUGUGUCAUUUACUGCUUGUGCAUCCGUCCAUCCAUCCACGCGGCACGGGACAGGUCAAAGGGCACGCUCCACUAGUAGAAUGGAAGCAUGCUGUAUUGACCUCUCACCUUUGACUCUCGACCUCCACUUUGACUGACAGCGUCCACUUUGAGCUGCAUAGGUUAUAACUUCCAUAUGAACCUUGAUAGACAUGACUUAACUAACCCGGAACAACAACCCUACAUUAGUUCCACGUCAACAAACACCCCCCCAAGAGUAGCAAAAUCAGGAGCACCUUUCUUUUAAAGUCCUCGUCUUAAAAGACUGUUAGUAUAUUAAUACUCAUGAUUAUAAUGAUCAUUGUUGUACAGACGUGUCAGAGACAACAUUUCUAGAGGAGAUCACUAUUUUGCACAUGAACCACUAUCUAGUUUGACAAUGACUGCUCUUCCAAGAUAAAAGGUGCUGUCUAGAACCUUAAAGGGUUAAUUUGGCUGUCUCCAUAGGAGAACCCUUUUGGGUUCCACACAGAACUCUUUCAAUGGAGGGUUCUAAAUGGAACCCCAAAAAAAAGGGGUUCUGUCUGGAACCAAAGGGUUCUGCUAUGGGGACAGCCAAAUUAACCCCUUGUGGAACCAUUUUUUCUAAGAAUAUACACAGAGGCGUUGAGAGGAAAGAGUUUUAAGAAGUUAUGUCUGGAUUUAAAAGAUAGCAUGAAUAAUGACUGUCUGAAAUAGCACCCAUUCCCUUUACAGUGCACUACGUUUGACCACUGAAGGCCACUGGUCUAAAGCAGUGCCCUUAUGUAGGGAAUAGGGUUCCAUUUGAGAAGCAGACUAGGACUUGUUUUCAAGAGGCCUUACUGGCCAGUGAGCAGGUGUGAGUUGGUUGAAGCAGACUAGGACUCGUUUUCAAGAGGCCUUACUGGCCAGUAAGCAGGUGUCAGUUGGUGGAAGCAGACUAGGAAUCGUUUUCAAGAGGCCUUACUGGCCAGUGAGCAGGUGUCAGUUGGUUGAAGCAGACUAGGAAUCGCUUUCAAGAGGCCUUACUGGCCAGUGAGCAGGUGUCAGUUGGUGGAAGCAGACUAGGACUCGUUUUCAAGAGGCCUUACUGGCCAGUGAGCAGGUGUCAGUUGGUGGAAGCAGACUAGGACUCGUUUUCAAGAGGCCUUACUGGCCAGUGAGCAGGUGUCAGUUGGUGGAAGCAGACUAGGACUCGUUUUCAAGAGGCCUUACUGGCCAGUGAGCAGGUGUCAGUUGGUUGAUUCAUGAACGUUUCUCUCCCUCUGUUUCUUCCAGGUCGGGUUAAGAUAAAUACUGCACCGUUAUACUGUAGCAUUCCACAGUACGGUUCCAGAUUCCACAUGGAGCAAACACAGUAUUUUGAUAUAAAAUAUUCAGACGUUUUAUAAGAUCGCUUUAUUGAGGUUUAACGGUUGUUUAACUGUCUUUUCCAACACAAGUCGUUUUUCUGCUUUGAUGUGACCUUCCUGAAGCCACGCCGGAGAGAGAUUAUUGUUUACCUGGUAUGGAUAACAGAACACCGAGGAUGAGUAGUUGACUAUUGGUGAUGAAGAGGGGUUUGUGUGACUGUCAUAAGUCAUAAAUAGUUUGGGAGGGGUUGGUUAAUGUUGAGUUAAAGACUUUGUUUUAUUGGUCCGCGUCUCACUUUAAGGCAGUAGUAGAACGUUAUACCCAUCAGGUUUAAACAAGUCUGUAAUACAUUUAAAUACUUCAGUAAUGCCCUAAAUCAUGAUUUAGUCAAUCAUACCCAGAAUCAGAAGACUAACUGGUGGAAGUGGAAGGAUAGACCACUUUUUGGCAAAGUCGUCUGUCCUUAUUGCGUUUAUAUGUGAAAGAACUAUUCACAAAAAAACGACAAAAGUAUUUUUUUGUGAUAUUAGUAGUGGCACUACUGUUAAAUGUAGUAUUUUAAGAAGAACAGCACUAUUUACGGUCAUUAAAAUGAACUAGAAUGUGUAUUGUGCAUUAUGGUAGCUUUGGAGGCAGCCAUCUUGUUUUGUAUCAAUUUCCUCAUGCUCAGAGACAGUCACUCACGUCAUGUAAGGGGUUCGUCUAGUUGUUGGGGAGUUGUUGAGUGGACUUGCCCAAAUCCGAGCCCCCUUUUCUCCUUUGAAUGACAAGUCUACAUGGUCGCACCAACAGACAUUUCCGCCCAUUCCCUCAAAUCUGACUUUUUUAUUUUCUAUAAAGAAAAAACAAUUCUAUUACUUUAUUUUUAAUUUCUCGUUUCAUUCUUUCAUUUAAACCAAUUUUUAAAGAGAAAGAAAACACAUACAAAAUCUGAAUAUUCAAUCACUUUUUCUACUUCUAUUUUCAAAAUAACUGAAAAAAAAACUAAAUAAAAAGUUGAUUUGUAUAUAAGUGAUGUACAGUUUGUAUCUGUUAAUGUCAGUCUGUCUUUGGUGACAGAGUCUGUCUUGCUUAUAACGCACGCUACCAGUAAAUCAAAUACUAAUAUAUUUAGACUGUACGGUCCUUGAAAGCAAGUUUUAAAUUAAUCUGAUGUAUAUUCCUGUAACAUUGCAUUUUUAUCUGAGGAAUUAUGUUAUUAAAAAAUUGCUAAUAAAUUGCA